UAACCCCUCUACAAGAGCGUUGCUCAAGGCCUGGCUUUUGGGGAGCCGUCCUCCUCCUAGGGCACAUCACUAGGCUCCCAAGGGCGGCAGGGCUCUUGUUUCAGCUCUGUCACUUAAAGGCAGGGUAACCUACGCAUGUCACCUAAAUUCCGAGCUACAGUUUUCCUAGUCUAUAUUGUUACUAAUAAUAGCCACCUUGUCGCCUCUUGACUGUUCUGAGGAUCAAAUGAGCUGAGGUGGAAAUGGAAGCUUGCCGAAGUGGAUUUUCUUCAGGGUCUUACAACUCACCAACAAGGGAGCAAACCCUCCUGUAUUGAUGAGCUCCUUGUUGGAGCCCCUCCCUCAUCCCAGUGUUGGACUUCCACCUGCUGACACCAAGAGAUUCCAAAGGCAUGGAAUACUACUCUAUUAAUAGAAAUAGAAAAUGAUGUUUUUGAAUUCACUCCUCGAAAUACAUUCACAGCUAUCUCAAAGGCCCUGGGACCAAGAAGGAUGGAAGGAUUUCCCCCCAUUUUAAAGUAGACUGCACUGAGCAAGGAGCAGCCUCUCCAGAAGGAAUAUCAGCUUCUGUCCCAACUUCACAUCCUGUAAGAAUUACGGAGUAUCAUCAACAAUUUUAAAUAUUGUCCCAGUCGCAUUUGUAAUUCUGGACCUACUGGUCCUUAGUGUAAAUACUCUGACAAUUACAAAUUGUAAAUACUUUGUAUUUCCCACUAGCCUUAAAUACUUCAUAUUCUCUCUCUGUUCUUGUAACCAAGAGGGCAGAAGCUACUGCCCUGUAAAGGGUGACCCCUGGUGAGUUGGCCCUCCUGGGGGCUCCCCACAGCAUGCCAGGCGGAGCUGGGUUGGGAGCCCUGGAAUCCAGUCUAUGGCUUUCUCUUCU